AUCAGGCCAGUACUUAGGGUCUUUACCUAAGUAAGCUAUCACGGGUAACGGGCGGUUACCGUCGUACUGCCGGAGAAGGCGCCUGAGAGAUAGCGACUAUAUCCACGGGUAGCAGCAGGCGCGAAACUUACCCACUCGAGACUAUCGGAGGUGGUAAUGACCAGUUAUAAUUAAGGAAUUUUCCUUAUUAUAUAGGAAUAUACUUUUCCAGUAUAUUGUAACCUAGCAGAGGGCCAGUCUGGUGCCAGCAGCUGCGGUAAUUCCAGCUCUGCAAGUUUGCUCCCAUAUUGUUGUAGUUAAAACGCUCGUAGUCUGAAUUAUUUUAAUUUAAAUUUUUUAAAUUAAAAUUUAGUUUUUAUUUUAUAAAAACGUUCACUGUGAACAAAUCAGAACGCUUAAAGUAAUUUUCUUUAUUGAAUGAUUUAGCGCAGUAUGAAAUUUUUACUUUUUAAAUUUUAAUUAAUUUAACAAGUAAUAUCAAAGAGAAUAAUCGGGGAUAGAUCUAUUUCAUGGCGAACAGCGAAAUGUUUUGACCCAUGAGAGAGAAACGAAGGCGAAAGCAUCUAUCAAGUGUAUUUCUAUCGAUCAAGGGCGAGAGUAGGAGUAUCCAACCGGAUCAGAGACCCGGGUAGUUCCUACCUUAAACUAUGCCGACAAGGUUUUGUUUUUUUUAAUAAAAGCAGUACCAUAGGAGAAAUCAUAGUUCAUGGGCUCUGGGGGAACUACGACCGCAAGGCUGAAACUUGAAGGAAUUGACGGAAGGGCACACCAGGGGUGGAGCUUGUGGCUUAAUUUGAAUCAACACGGGAAAACUUACCAGGACCAGAUAUUUUUAAUGACUGAUCAGGCUAUAGGUCUUUCAGGAUAUGAUUUUUGGUGGUGCAUGGCCGUUGGUGGUGCGUGGGUUGACCUGUCUAGCGUUGAUUCAGAUAACGAGCGAGAUUAUCACCAAUUAAAUAUAUAAAUAUUUUUAUUAAAAUAAUUUAUUUUCUAAUUGGGACUCCCUGCGUCUAAGCAGGAGGAAGAUGGUAGCAAUAACAGGUCCGUGAUGUCCUUUAGAUGCUCUGGGCUGCACGCGCGCUACAAUGUUAUAAUCAAAGAGGUUUGCUAAAUCGAUAGAUUAUCUUUUUUUUAAAGAUUUCAUAGCUACUCUGUUAAUAUAUAACGUAGUUGGGAUUGAUAAUUG
rnacentral:rRNA from 1 species